CCAAUAGCCAACCCAAACUGGGACCCCAGUGAUAACAAGAAUCAAGAGUGGCUUCAUCAUUAUAGGAAUAUGCUUCUCAGAGGUAUGAGGGAAGCAAGCCAGUCCCUGGUCAAUUGGGGAAAUCUCAGAGAAAUAGAACAAGGCCCUAAUGAAAAUCCAUCAGCAUUCCUAAAUUGAUAAUAAGAAUGCCUCCAGAAUUACACCCCUUGGGACCCAGAUGACCCAAAAGCUGAGUAGUACUUUAAUCUCACUUCAUCUCUCAGCCCCAGAUAUUCAGAGAAAACUCUAAAAAGUGGCAAUAAAUCCACAUACUCCCCCUUUCCAACUGGUAGACAUCUCCUUUAAGGUCUAUAGUAAAGAGAUGUGGCAUCUGAUGAAAAGGAAGACAAGAAGAUGCGGCAGCCCUACAGACUACUUCAGGAAGCCCAGGAAGAAGAUGGCAUGGAUUAGAAAAAUUUCAACUGUAGGUGCCUUUGCAACCUAUCCUGGGAGACCCUAAAACAUAUUUAGUUUUAGUGCCUAGAGAUUUUCACUCCUCUAACAUCUCUGGAUACAGUGUCCCUGGUCAACAUGAAGAAGUUACAGAAGAACGCUUUCUGAUCCUGGCCCCUAAAGAAUUUACUUGUGCUAAGUAAUAAAAUUCCUAUUGAUC
rnacentral:lncRNA from 10 species